rnacentral:rRNA from 1 species
AGCAGCAGCCACGGUAAAACAGAGGGUGCGAGCGUUAAUCGGAUUUACUGGGCGUAAAGCGUGCGUAGGCGGCUUUUUAAGUCGGAUGUGAAAUCCCUGAGCUUAACUUAGGAAUUGCAUUCGAUACUGGGAAGCUAGAGUAUGGGAGAGGAUGGUAGAAUUCCAGGUGUAGCGGUGAAAUGCGUAGAGAUCUGGAGGAAUACCGAUGGCGAAGGCAGCCAUCUGGCCUAAUACUGACGCUGAGGUACGAAAGCAUGGGGAGCAAACAGGAUUAGAUACCCGCGUAGUCCCUGUCUCUUAUAC